CCCACCCCCGCUUAGUGGAGAAGGACCCGUGAGAAGCUGCAGGGCCACUGGGUUUCCAGCAGAGACUCGAGGCCUGCUCUCGCAAGGGACGCGAUUUAGGUGGGACGAUGACGCCACCUUCCUGGUUAGGAGAAAUGAUCCCCCUGCCCCCCCAUCAUUCUUGCUCCCCAAACUCUCUCCAUGUCUUUGCCUGAGACCACGCCCAUGAGCGCCAUACAGGGGCUCGUUCCUGUUCUUUGCCAUGUUCACGCCAUGUGCGUGGAUGCCGUGGGAGCCGCACCUCGCCCAUCUGCAAUAAACUCAUUUCUAACUGACAUUUCUCUGACACUUUUGUUUUAUUAUUUGGGGGAGAAGCCUGGAAAUGUCAGCAGGCAAGAGCUCAGGGAGCAGAUGCCGCCCGCCCAGCCCGGUGGGAAGGAGCGGGUCGGUCAGGGGUCGCGGUCUGCUCUUUUGCAGGGGGCCGAGGGGAAGUGGGGGCAGAGUGAAGCAGCGCGAAGCAGACCACGUCCACGACCACGUCCACGACCACGUGCACCGACCCAGUGCCCAGUCUGUUCGGCCCCUCGGCACCUGCCUGGGGUCGAAGAUAAAAGCCCAGGUCGGGGGAAGUGGCCCAGCAAGCAGGUGCUCCGGGGCGGAGGGCGGGAAGCAGAGACGGUGGGAUGUUAACCAUCACCCUGGAGCCUGGCACAGUAUGACUCCUCCUUGCUCUAAGCAGUGAUGGGGACACUCGCAGACCCCUGGCCACAGCCGGCUCAGCAGCAGGAUAGUGGACAGUGGGCUGUCGCUGGGGUGGGGGUGGGCUCGACAAAAGCCUGUGCCACGUGUUUUAAAGUGAGAGUUGAAGCACCACAACCCUAGAGGAGAGGGCAGGGGACAAACAGAGAAGAGCUGUGAGCCGCCUGCCAAAGAGGCCGAGCCGCGAGCGAGCGUCCCCCAGGGAGACCCACUCCACACCAGGGCCUGGCGGACAGAGGCGCCUGCCUCAGGGGGGCGGGGCUCCCAGGCUGCGGGAGGCGGGGCGCUUCUGGUCAAGCUGGACAACCACUUGUGGGGGCCUGUGGGGGCGGGAGGGGUGCACUAGCUACGCCAUCCCCUCCCCCACUCAGAUCCUUUCUGACGCUCCCCGAGGCUCCGUGCUCUGAGCCAGCUUGAGAAUUCACUGAGGCUUGGGGGUGCCGGGGGAACAAGAGCCCUGCUCAAGGUCUAAUCAGCACCGACUGCGCCUCCCCCAGGGGCCAGACGCCCGCCCGCAGGUGGGCUGGGAACCACCGUCGAUCACGGUGAAGGGCGCCCCUGAGUCACUGUCCCGGUACCAGGCGUCCUGCCUCCGAGGAAGUUUCUGCCCAGGCCAGAAACUGAGGUGGCGGUACCCUUCUUCGCUGUGAGUUUUCCUGGCGUUCCCAGAGAGGGUGGAGGAAGGAAGCUGGUGUCAGGUGCUCAGACCAGGGAUUUCCCGGGCAGUCGAUCUGGGCACGUGCCCAGCCUGUCCCUACCAGACCAGCAUCCAGAGGGAAGCACUGUCCCUGCUUCCAAGCGCUCAGGGCCCCGGAGUCCACUUUGGGUGACCCCUUCAGAGGGCGGCAGGGCUCGGGCCCUCCUACACCCACGCCCCAGUCUCCCGCCCGUGAGAGGCAGUGCCAGGAUCAGUACUGUGUCCCCAGAUUCUGCUGCCUGCUCAGUCGUACCCACCUGACGGUCCAUCGGCCCACGCAGAAUAUGCUAGACGAUCAGCAGGGCCCGCUCGUGGACCCUCGCUCCAGGCACUCUGGGACUCGGUCGACCCGCAGGGUGGAACUGAGUUUGGAGCAGCGCGAGGUGAGCGGUGGGGGGCAGUUGAACUGAGCGGAAGCCUGCGUUUUGGGGUCCAUGAGAUCCGGCACGCUACAGGUGCUUCGUAAGUGCGGUGGGAGGGGGUGGAGGGGAGACGCAAGGCGCUUGCUCAAAUGGCUUUCUGGGUUUGUGCCUAACUACACGCUACAGGACACCAGCCUCGAUCACUGUCCUUGUCAAGCAGAAGCAAAGACACACGCACCUGGCAGGUGGAAGCCAGCGGGAGCCACAGAAGCCCCCAAGGGGCUGUGGUCCUGGGAUUUGUGGCUUUUUGCGAAAUCAGGCUCUGGGUGAAGCCUUACCUCGUUCUAAAGCAAAACCAUUCGCAAGGUGAAUCCAAAACAAAUACUGAUCAUGGAAGAUUGUCAACUGCCCCAUGGACAUUUUUAGUUAAAAAAAGAUACAAAACAGAAGACAAACAGCGGUCGCAUAAAUAAAAAAGAAGCACUAAGCACUAAGGAAAGAACACAUUCUCACGGCGGCGAGGCCUUUUAAAUCCCGGCUUGGGAAGCAGGCACCUCGGCGCUGUGGCCCUUGGGGACGUCGCUGUCCCUGAGGCACGUGGAGCAAACACCCUGUGGUUGGGGCUGCACGGCCUGUCGGGCCAAGGUUAAGUCUUCGUGGUAGCAUGUCCGUGUGUUCCGUCCUUGGAAGCCAGUGUGAACGUGAAAUGAGGAGCCGGUCACUGUGGAAGCAGCUCGAGCGUCCGUGCCGAGGACGACGGCUUCAAAGAACCAAGCGUAGGGACUACUCAGAGCGUCACAGCUGCGAUCCCCCGGGACUGAGGUAGCAACGUGUGGAAACGUCACGUGGAAACAGUAAACCUUUCAUCACGCAGCCCUGAUUUCCCCAGGAGACAAUUUCCUGUGAUUAGCAGACCCGAAGAAAGUCGGCACGGCCGCCCACUCAGCCCUCCUGUGAGGACCACGGUGGGCAUGCAGAUCUCCAAGGAGGCUGGGAGGAGGGUCGGGGUGUGGCUGGACUCCCCGGGUGGAACCUCACCCACAGGCCGCGGCCACCUGCCCCAGCCGUGCCCGGGGGUGAACGCGUCUGCAGUGCCGGCCCUGGCUCCAAGGGCUCCGUCUACACUCUCACCCCCGUAAGAAGAGAAGGUUUUGAUGCCUUUUCAAGUGACUGUCAAGACACCACCCGUGAAGGGCCGGUCCCUUAUUUCCAGCCACCCUCCAGGGCUGUUAAGAAGGCACUAAAGAACGAUCAGUGAAAAUUCUUGUGGGGUGACAGCUACCCAGAUGGCCCUGCCUAGCGGCGGCCCCUGACGGUGGCCUUCCUUAGCGGAGGCCUCCGAGGGUGGCCCCUGCAGGUCCCACCUGGCUUUCUUUUCUAUCAUAAGCUGUCCAGCAGCCAAGAGGUCCAGCCCCAUGUGGCUCCAAAUAUGGCCCUGAAUGGGCUCAGAAGGGAGGUCCCAGUGGGCAGAUUCCAUCCCUUUGCUCUGCAUUGGCCCUAGGUGCCCACGCCCAGCCCGGCCGGUCACCCCUUUUGGAUAAGAGGUCAGGGAGCACAGGUCUGGGGAGGAGCCAUGGCAGCCUGCACAGAACUGUGGAGCGUGCCAAAGACAGACAAGUUCACUAUUGAAUAAAAGUGAAAGGACCUUCGAAUCAUUUCUAAAAAUGUAUUAUGCACAAAGAAUUGGAACUCAGUCCUCCACUCCCUUCAUUUGCUUGUGGAACGGUGCCUUCAUGGCUUAGCUGUUCGCCUGUUCAAAAAGAAAAAAGAGAUGAAGUUAUUUCUUAAGGCAAACAAAGGUGGAAAAUGAUUUUUUCCCCUAGAUUGGCACAAGGCACUUACGCACAAAACGAACAAGCUGAAUGGGACAAAGGGAUAUUUCUCCCUGCAGCCUGUAGGUCAAGAAGUUAGGCUGACAACGAGGCCAAGGAGCUCCAGACAGAGAACCGGACAGCAAUGUGUGUCAGGCCUGGCGGGGGGCGGGGAUGUGCACAGGGUCCCUGGGGGCCGGGCAUGGGGUGCCUGGGGAAGCCAACUGCUCAGCACAGCUGGAACACAGGCCUCUGCCGGGAAAAACCAAGCUUGACGGGCACCGGCGGGUAACAGUGCAGCUCUCCUGCUACCCAGCCUCCCACGCAGGGUCAGCUCCCCUGCCCCCCACGCUGGACACUUGAGAGGAGACAAGAUAGAACAUCUUCUUUCGCCGGCAGCCCAGCCUUGAAGACCGCCAGUCCCGGGGCCCCUGAGCUGGAUUUAGUGAGGCCUGAGUGGAGCCGACUGAGCGGGAACUAAGCGCGGCCGGCAGGGCGCGAGGGCUCGCGCGGACCUACCCUGCCUCUGGGGAGCGUGCCAGGGAGGCCGGCAGCAGCGACAGCGACGGGUGAAGGCCCGAAGGGAGGGACGUGACGCUGGCUGCGCACCGCGGUUAAGGGGGCGGUGCCUGCACCUCGCCGACAGCUGUCGGCCACCUUGCUGCAGCCGGACCGCGCCUUGGGACAUCGGGCUUUGGCACAGCGAGGGAGAGAACCCAGUCGGGAGGCGGAAGGAAAGUUACCCUCAUUUGUCGGUAGAUCCAGUCCGUGAAUACCGUCACGUUUCCGUACACCCCUGGCCUGUAGGCCUUGGCACAGCCGGACCCCCAGCUCGUGUCCCCAAUCAGCCACCAGAUGCUGCUCUUCAAAGUGACCAGAGGACCACCACUGUCACCCUGAGGGACACAGCAAGUUGUAGAGAGCAGAAUUUCAAACAGCACCCAGGGCACGCCAUCGACCUUGCAGACAGGCUCGGGGGUCUGGUGUCCGGGAGAAAGUCUUCCUGCCUCUGGAACUAGGGAGCCCUACCUGUGUUCUAGAAUCUUCUACCCUCAUCACCCACUGACGUGGUUCUGCGGGAUCGGUUUUCCUCAUCCAUCGCUCCCUCGCUGGACGGUUCCCGGUUGCACCAGGAGCUCCUGUGUUCCCCAACUUAGCCCAACCCCCCCCCACACACACACGCUGCCUCACCUCGCUAACUUCUAAAAACAACUGUGGGUGCUGGGUGUCUCCGCCCCACGCUGCUUCCUCUCCGGGCACCUCAGUUGUCAUGUGCUCGCCCAGAACGUCGCACUGCACACCCCUGCACCCCACAGCCUCACCACAUAUCCCGUGGCCCAGGCCGCCCGCGCUGGGGCUCCCGGCACAAAGCUAGAAGUUUCCUCCCCACACUUCUCACUCUCUCUCCGCUGACAUUCAGCCCAUCUGCAGCUCUGGCGGCCCUGUCCCAACGUGCUCGGUCUCUUCACUGUCACGCCCGCCACCCUGUCACGGAGGACCCCUCGCCACCCCUCGCCACACCUGUUCCAUGACUCCUCACACAGUAUCACAUCACGUGACGCCUCUGCUCGACACCUCCCAACGGUUCCCUGUCUCACGAGGAGGAGCCAGUGUCUUCACUGUAGCCUAUGAGGCCCCACACCACCUGGUCUCAGCCUGCCCCUUGUCCUUAGCUCACCAUGCCCCGGCCACACUAGCCCUUCUGUUCCUUAAACAUUCUCGUCAUUCAGAGCUCAGCUCCAAUGUCACCUCUUCCGAGAAGCCUUCCCUGACCACCACCUCUUCAAAGCAGCCCCACGUACGUUUCCUGUUUGUCCGACCACCCUGCCCCAGACAUCCACACGGGACGGCGAACUUCCCGAGGGCAGCGGCUUAGGUCUCAUCUCGUUCGCUGGCGCAGUCUCGCUGGAGCAGCUGCUCUGCAAACACCUGCCCGUUUUCCUUUUCGUCGUGGCUGCUGUGAGGCCUUGCCCGCUGCGAAGCUCAGCCAGCCAUAGCAACGCCCGUUAGACGGCACGCCAGGAGGCCGGCUGCCACCACUGUCCCUCCGAAACACCCCCACAUCACCCAGCCCUCGUACUCUGCACCUUGUUCUAAGGGAUCCGUUGUGCGUGUGCCACACACGCUUUUUCGAAGGGUAUAAGCAGGACAUAAAAUGCUUCUUUGCGCCGCUAAGCGCUUCCAAUGCUCCACAAAAACCAAAGAGCCAGGGUCCCUGCUUUUGAAAACUAUUAUCUGUGAUGAAACCGCACUGUAACUUAAAGAAGCUGAGCAGGCCUGGGCCAGGAAGUCUGGCUGCUUCUCCCUCUCUGUGGAAUUAGGGCAGGAGGACAAAGGCCCAUCUUCACCACGUCCAUUAUCUCUCAGCUAUCAAAGGGCAGUGAUGCCCAGGCUGGCCCGCUAGCAACAACAGGACAUGAUCACAAGGCGGCAUUAUACCUCUCAUAUCUACAUGGCCUUCAUCCUUCAAAAAGCAGUUUCUACACAUCGUUCGACUUGAUCUUAAACGGAACACUGUGUGUUAGGGCGGAGCUGAUUUUUCCCAUGGAGCAGGUGGGGAAACUGAGGCACGAAGACGGAGCGAAUCGCCUCAAGUCAUCCAAUCAUUUAGCAACAGA